rnacentral:rRNA from 1 species
GGCGCUGGAGAACUGAGGGGGGCUGCUCCUAGUACGAGAGGACCGGAGUGGACGCAUCACUGGUGUUCGGGUUGUCAUGCCAAUGGCACUGCCCGGUAGCUAAAUGCGGAAGAGAUAAGUGCUGAAAGCAUCUAAGCACGAAACUUGCCCCGAGAUGAGUUCUCCCUGACUCCUUGAGAGUCCUGAAGGAACGUUGAAGACGACGACGUUGAUAGGCCGGGGGUGUAAGCGCAGCGAUGCGUUGAGCUAACCGGUACUAAUGAACCGUGAGGCUUAACCUUACAACGCCGAAGCUGUU